rnacentral:lncRNA from 1 species
GUGCCAAGAAAAACUAAAAAGAAUCUAGGUGUAUUGGAUGUUUCCUAUCGUGUCCAACAUUGUUACCAACUUCCACAUGAUGUAGCCACCUCAUCUGGAAUUCAAAUUCAAUUCCAUAAAUUAUGUUCCUUUCUUGCUUUUCUCUAAAUUCCAUAUAUCUAGUCUUGCUCAAUUUGGAGUCUUGUAGCUUGCCUUUCAAGGAUCCUCACGCCAAAGUGUCC